CAGGGAAUAGUUUAGUUAGAAUGUCAGC
rnacentral:tRNA from 1 species